rnacentral:rRNA from 1 species
UUGCGUGGCUCUGACACUAGUACGAGAGGACCGUGUUGGACUGACCGCUGGUUUACCGGUUGUGCCGCCAGGUGCAUCGCCGGGUAUCUAAGUCGGGAUCGGAUAAGCGCUGAAAGCAUCUAAGUGCGAAGCCGGCCACAAGAUUAGAUUUCUCAGGGUCGUUGUAGACGACAACGUUGAUAGGAUGCAGGUGUAAAGGUGGAGACACCAAAG